UACAGAGGCCCCAAGCGUUACUGAGAAUCACUGGGUUUAAAGGGUGCGUAGGUGGCGCGUUAAGUCCGUUGUGAAAUCCCUGGGCUCAACCCAGGAAUUGCUUCGGAUACUGGCGUGCUUGAGGCUAGUAGGGGUCACUGGAACUGACGGUGGAGCGGUGAAAUGCGUAGAUAUCGUCAGGAACGCCAAUGGUGAAGACAGGUGACUGGGCUAGUUCUGACACUGAGGCACGAAAGCGUGGGGAGCGAACGGG
rnacentral:rRNA from 1 species